rnacentral:misc_RNA from 1 species
UUUGAGGUGGAGUUAGGCAGGUUUAUAUCAACAUGGGCUGGCAUUUUACUCCAAAAAAUUUUGUUGUCUUAAGUUUAUGGAAUUCAUUUCAAAAUUUGAUGAGAAUUGGUUUUAGUUAUAACUAAUUCCACGGAAUUUAAUUCAUGAAAUUUAUUUGUACACUUUUGCAAACCGAACACAUAAUAUAUGGAAUUAAAUUGAAUUUCACCAAAUUUUGUGGAAUUCAUUUGAACCAAAUAAGCCCUUUAGCUUAGUUUCUGUCAUUUCUCAUUUUUUAGCAUCAUUGCCGUCGCUGUGGAAGGACACUAUGUCAUGAACACUCGUCAAAUCAAAUGGUAUGGCCUUUCUGUGUUCUCUCUUCUUUCAUCAAUGAUAUUAUUAUUAUUUGAUGAAAUGAACUUGAAUUAAUCAAUUGCCUGCAUUAUUUUUUAUUUGGUAACUCAGGCUCUGCCUCAAUUUGGAAUCCACUCAAGUGUUAGAGUUUGUGCUGAUUGUUUUAAUGAUUCUACUCGCUCAGGAAAUGUCAAUCAACAGGCUUCCUCAGAUGGAGUGAAUUCUGUAGCAGAUAAAGUUUCUAGAUUAGACAUUGGUUCAGAAACAGAUUCAAACACAGAAACAGCUACCCAGCAUAAUUCUGCUACUGGUGUUAUAGAGUGCAAGUGUGGGAUGCCUUUAUGCAUAUGUGAAACUCCGGCUCCAACCAUAGAUGCACCUGCCCUGCAGAUGAAAACCCCUUCUACCAGUGCUUCUCAGUCAAAUCCAAAACCAAAGAAGACAGAUGCCAUUCCUAAGAACAGAGGUUCCACUUCAAACAACAAACCUAGUUCUGUUUUCAGUUAUGGUCAAAUAACAAAUGGUGGUAUUGAUAAACCUCAGAUGGAUUAUGAAGUAAAUGGGGAGGGUUUGAGGGAAGCCAUAAAGAAUGGUGAUACUGCUGCAGUCAAGAAGAUACUCAGUGAGGGUGUGGAUGCAAAUUAUCGCGACAAGCAAGGCCUGUCUGUACUACAUUUGGCGGCGCUCUUUAACCAAACUGAUAUAGCUUUUACACUCAUGGAAUCUGGAGCAAGCCUGGACUACAAGAAUGCACAAGGGGAAACUGCACUGGACUGUGCUCCUGCAACUUUGCAAUACAAGAUGAGAAAGAAAAUGGAAGAACAUGGACAACAGGGCCCACAUACCACCAUCUGAGAGUAGAUGCGUGC